GGAAGAGAUGGAAGGAGCUGAGGAUGGCGGACCUUACGACCGUCUCAUUGUGUUCUCGGGUGCAGUAUAUUACGAAAAUCACUGGGAACGAAGGACACCGAUGUAUGAACUUUAGAGUUGUACAGCAUCCAGAAUACUUUCUCGUUGGAUAAAACAAAGCUUUAUUUGAUAACAUGGAAGAUGUUUAAGAGCGAUGAAUUUAAUUUCAGAAUUUAAUAGUGAUA